AGGGUUUGAUCCUGGCUCAGGAUGAACGCUAGCGGCAGGCCUAACACAUGCAAGUAGAACGGUAACAGAGAGAGCUUGCUCUCUGCUGACGAGUUGCGAACGGGUGCGUAACGCGUAUGCAACCUACCCAUAACAGGGGGAUAGCCCAUAGAAAUGUGGAUUAAUACCCCAUAAUAUCAUAGAUUGGCAUCAUGAAAUGAUUAAAACUCCGGUGGUUAUGGAUGGGCAUGCGUGACAUUAGCUAGUUGGUGAGGUAACUGCUCACCAAGGCGACGAUGUCUAGGGGUUCUGAGAGGAUGAUCCCCCACACUGGUACUGAGACACGGACCAGACUCCUACGGGAGGCAGCAGUGAGGAAUAUUGCGCAAUGGAGGAAACUCUGACGCAGCCAUGCCGCGUGCAGGAAGACUGCCCUAUGGGUUGUAAACUGCUUUUAUAUAGGAAGAACUACAGCUACGUGUAGCUGUUUGACGGUACUAUACGAAUAAGGACCGGCUAACUCCGUGCCAGCAGCCGCGGUAAUACGGAGGGUCCAAGCGUUAUCCGGAUUUAUUGGGUUUAAAGGGUCCGUAGGCGGGUUAUUAAGUCAGUGGUGAAAUCCUACAGCUCAACUGUAGAACUGCCAUUGAAACUGGUAACCUUGAGUAUA
rnacentral:rRNA from 1 species